rnacentral:tRNA from 1 species
AGGAGUGUAGUUAAACGGUAUAACCACGGUCUCCAAAACCGCUAUUGGGGGUUCGAUUCCCUCCACUCCUGCCA